UUGAAUCAAGUAUGGUGUAAAAUUUUAUAAUUGUAUUAAGGUUGAAACUAUUGUUAAAAUGAAAUAAUACCUACAAUUGUAUUUGUAUGUAUCAAAUUAAAAUUCUGAAUUAUUUGUAUGCACGUACAUGUGCAUACACACGGAUCUAGCAUAUAGAACUAGACUAGUAUUGCAUGCCCGUGCUACAGGAAUUUUGAAUACCCUUUGAGAAUAAAUUGAAUUAUCACAACACAAUAAAAGAUAUUUUAUGUAUUAACUUCAGUUUUGAGUGCAACUUGAGAGUGUAUAAACUGAAUAUAUCUUCUAGAGUUGGCGAAAGACUGUUUCAUUUCAACGCAACUUCCUACCAUUCGAUGAGAACUUGGGAUGAAAAGAGUAAAGCUUUUUCCGCUUGUGACAUAGUGGACCUGCAAAAUAUGAACUCUGUCAAUGCCAACUUCAAACACUAAAGCUGAAAAUGUCGAAAAGUGGAAAAUGAUUCCAAUAAAAACAUAGCUUACACCCAGAAAAAGAAAUUGAAGUCCUUAAAGCAUCAUCCUCCUUUUUACUCUAUUGCCCAUGUAAAUCCAAAUUUAACUCAACCGACACGUAGUCUAUCAAACAAAUAUAACGCAAAAAGUAGAAUAAAAAACUUAAAAAGUUUUAAAAUCGAAUAAUAAUGCAUAUAUGGGAGAGACAACAAAAGCAUAAUUCUCCCUUUGAGGGAACAUGCUCUUCAAGUUGGUCAAAAUAGCCAAGUUACCGUUAAAAACGUACACAACCAAAGUAUGAGCAAUUGUGAGCAGCUCGAGAUUCUAUACAAUCCAAAUAAGAAAGGAAGUAUAGAAACUCCAGCAGAACUUACAUAGGCAGAGUCCCAAUCAAAAUUUGAUGGUAAUCAGGGGCGGCGGCUCAACCCUAAGGCAACUAAAGCCAAGGCUUUAGGCCCCAAAAAUAUAGGGCCCCAAAUAUUAUUCAUAUUAUAUAUAUAACAAAUAUAUUUUAAAUAAUUACUCCGAUAUUCUUUAUAAUAGUUAAUAAAUCUUUUGAUCAACCAUACAUUUGCUAUGUCAAUAAUCCUUAUGGCCUAGUCCAAACAUUAUGCUAUUUUUGAGGGCUAAUUAGUUGAGCUAUAAUAAAUAAAUGACAUGCACUUAAAUAACUUCCUCCUUCAUUAUUCUUAUUCUCUUCAACUUGGAUUAAUUUUCAUUUUACAAUAGCUUCUGUACAUACCUUGAGCUAAUUAGCUCCAUAUUGAUUUUUGGAUUUAUUUUAUAACAAAAGCACGUACUACCACAAACUCCAAGUAAAAGAUAAUACUUUAAUUGAUAUACUCAAUGAAAUAAAAGAUUUAGUUCUUUUUCCACAUGCCUAUAUAAUAUUGCUCAUAAAAAAAUAAAGACAUUUCCCCCGAGGGGAAGAUAUUUUUCGAAAGUAAAAUUAACAAAACUUUACCUAAGAGCAACAAUAUCUCAAGAAUAAUUAAAUAAAUUGGCUAUAUUAUCAAUUAGGAAGAAAAUAUUAGAAGAAGUUGAUGGUAAAAUAUAAUUAAUAUAUUUGCCUCUAAAGGCCUCUAAUAACGAUUUACCUUUAGGCCCCCUACUCCAUCGAGCCGCCACUGAUGGUAAUGACCCCUUUACUUAAUAAUUAAAAGAAAAUACAAAUAGCAUUAAACUCUUUCUUUUGUAUGUUCCUUUAUUCUAUAAAACCACAGAAGAAAAAGUAUAUCAUAUGUAAAGGAUUUGAACACUGAUUGAGGCAGCACGUAUAUUUAUAGGAUCAGGCCCUAACUAAUUCCUGGCAGAGGAAAACUUAGCAAUGUCGGGAAAAAAUAACUUAGUGUUGUAAGAAAAAUUUAUCUUACUGAGUUUUGAGCCAUUGAAGAUAAAAUAAUAUUAUUCUCAUCAAAGUUAUCAAAUAGAAUGGAGAAUAGUUAUAUUUGGUCAUGACCAGGAGAAAAGAGGAAAAUUGAAAAAUUUUAGAGAACUCUUAAGAUAUUCCACCUUAUCUUAUUUGCAUAAAAAUCAUCCAUCCUUGUUGGAACUGCUAGUUCUAACUUACUCUCGAAACACUUGUUUGAGAUUCCAAAGAAAAAUUAGAUGUAAUAUGUUGGAUUUCAGAAUACAACAAAAUAAAAUUGACUUGCAAACAGCUUGUUCAUCUGUUUCCACAAACAAUUUUAAAAAAAUCUAAAAUAAGUACACACGCAAGUUAAUAAUCAAUAGAACAACAAAAAAAGUAUUUGGAAAUAAGAAAAACAAUGAUGUGUGUGAGUUUGGAGAGGAGGCAACUUUGGAAUCCUCAUUUACCUUCAAACUCCAUGCUUCCAAUGUGAAACUGAUUCCUCUGUGAUCUUCUUUAGCUUAUAACCUGAUUCUAACUGAUGUCCUUGAUAUAUUGCACACUGCUUUGUCUUACAAGUGAGAAAAGAAGACUACACACGACAACAACAACAAUAACAACAACAACAACAACUCAGUGUAAUUCCACAAGUGGGGUCUGGGGAGGGUAAUAUGUACGCAGACCUUACCUCUACCCCGAGGGGUAGAGAGGCUGUUUCCAGGAGACCCUCGACUCAAAGAGGCAACAAGAGACAUUAUAUUAGUAAUAUCAAUAGACUCAUAAUAAAACAACAUAAAAUAUCAUACGACAAUGAUGAAAUCAAAAUUAACAUAACUUAAUCCAGAAAAAGACAACUAAUUCACACACUAAAUUAUUGAACAUCAGAUUAAUAAAAAUAAAUCAUUUGGGAAAUAUUUCCACAAUCUUUUUUUUUUAAAAAAAAAAAGGAAAUGGAAAAAGAGUUGUAAAGUCGUUUAAAUUGAUUUACGCUGAAAAAAGUGAUUAUGUAGAAAAUUGUAAAAAGAUUGUGAGCCAGAAAAAAAAUCACACACAACAUAUAUACAUGAUGGCCAAAAAAUAAUUCCACACGCAUGCGAGGUACAAUAAGCUUAAAAUGGGUUAAGUCUAAAAGCUAAGGAAUAUCACCCAAGCUCACUGCAAACUAUAGUAUGCGGAUGGAAUCGAGACAACUCCAAAAUAAUCAGGAACAAAAAGCAAAAAUCCAACAUCUAGAUGUUCUACAUUUCAUAUUACCACAGAACAUGAAAAUCCACCGAUCAAGAUUUUUAUUCAUAGGGAAUAUGAAGCUAAUCAGAAAACUGGAGGGUAGAACUAUUACUGCAAAAUAUCAAUAGCAUAGAGCUUUUAGGAGUGAAGUAAUAGGCUUAAUCAGAUUAAUUUUAGGCCAAGAUAUCUUGAAAACAAAGGCAAAAUUAUUGAGAAGAAAAGGAUCAGUCAAUUUGCCUUCGAAGCUCAACAAAGACUUAUCAACAAUCCUAUAAGAACAUUCAAAUUAAGUCAAUCCAAUUCCAAAUUCAUUAUUGCAUAAAACCAGGGCAUUAACAGUAAAUUGUCCAUUCAGAUUGUUUAUAUUCCUUUAACAAUGGGUUCUAUUUUUCAUGGAUUUUCCUUUGAUAGAGGAGCAUAAGAAUCAUUUUGUUUUUCCAAGCAUAUCAUCAAACACCUUAAUUGCAUCAACUGCGGAAAAAUCAAAGUUUGCAGUGGGGUGUCUCAAUUUUGUAGCGACAAUUUGUCAUACCUCAGUCUUUUGAAAAAUACAUGAAUAAAUCGAUAGUAUCUUUGUUGCCACACAUUUCUAUUCCAAACACUUUAUAGUUUUGUAUAAUUUAAUCUAAUAUUUUUAGGUUGGUAUGAAUCUGAAAAUACAUAUAUCUAUAUCUAAUUUUUCUUGCUAAUACAAAGUAAGACAAAUAGUAACAAAAAUAUAGAUGGAAGAAAUGGUCUGAUUUAAGAGUAUUUCUAUAAGUGCACACUUGAAAAAAAGAAGAGAAAAACAAAGCUUUGAUAGAAGGUAAGCACAUGCAGAAAGUCAAAAGAUUUUGUUGAUUAAGACAUUAACAAACACCUACAAUGUAUCAGUGUGCAAAGGUUGACAUGCAUGUGAAAAUUCAGCACUGAAAUAUCCGAACAAAUAGAGACUGGAAUAUCCAAACAAAUAGAGAAGCUGCUGGACAACCACCAAGAUUUCAGGGAAAUAACAGAGUAAAGCUGACAAGAACUGAAAAAAUAGAGCACAUAGAGAUAUUAUGGAACUCAAAAUGAGAAAUUUAGGAAUUCUGGAAGAAUCCAAGAGACACUUACCAGAAAGAGCAGAGCAAAAAUAAGAUGGAAGCAAAGAAGGAGGUGGAAAGAAAGAAGACGACUGGUGCUUCUAGAUUGUACAUUAGAGGAAUAGCGCCAAAGUAGUUGCACAAUAAGAAUCCAGCAUCAGCAUCCCUCCACUACAAUAUGCUUUUGUACCCUGAAUCAAGUCGUUUUGGGUUUACCUCCAAGUAGAUGAUUCAAACAAAACUACUCUUUUUAUGUUAAAUAAUAUUCAGUAUGGACUCUAUGGAAUUAAGCAAAUAACCAGAAAUGAAACAGAAUGAAAUACAUGAGGAUUUGUUUUCAAAUAUCACUUUAUAGUUUUCUAAUGGGAAAGUUCGAAUCCAAGAAAUAAUUCCUAUAAGGCAAAAGAGGCCUUACA
rnacentral:lncRNA from 1 species